rnacentral:rRNA from 1 species
CCUACGGGGGGCAGCAGUGGGGAAUAUUGGACAAUGGGCGAAAGCCUGAUCCAGCCAUGCCGCGUGUGUGAAGAAGGCCUUCGGGUUGUAAAGCACUUUCAGUGGGGAAGAAAGCCUUGGGGCUAAUACCCUCGAGGAAGGACAUCACCCACAGAAGAAGCACCGGCUAACUCCAUGCCAGCAGCCGCGGUAAUACGGAGGGUGCGAGCGUUAAUCGGAAUUACUGGGCGUAAAGCGCGCGUAGGCGGUCUGAUAAGCCGGUUGUGAAAGCCCCGGGCUCAACCUGGGAACGGCAUCCGGAACUGUCAGGCUAGAGUGCAGGAGAGGAAGGUAGAAUUCCCGGUGUAGCGGUGAAAUGCGUAGAGAUCGGGAGGAAUACCAGUGGCGAAGGCGGCCUUCUGGACUGACACUGACGCUGAGGUGCGAAAGCGUGGGUAGCAAACAGGAUUAGAUACCCCAGUAGUC